GGCGCGAUAGCAAAGCGGCAGUGCAGCGGAUUGCAAAUCCGACCAGCCCGGUUCGACUCCGGGUCGCGCCUCCA
rnacentral:tRNA from 2 species